CGAGCCACGACUCGCCCGGCCGCUACACCCUGGCAACACAGGGCCAAAGGCGACGACCGUGCUUCAUCAUCACCGAGAGGAGCGACGGUCGUCCACGUCGCCAUUGCCAUCGUCCUUCAGUGAAACUGCAGGUGCUAUACUUGCAAAGGCAGAGAUGGAAGAGCACAAAGGGCUAAACUAGCUCAUACCGGAGAAUGAAACUGAAAUUCUCUAUUUAUCGAGUGUAUCAUUGUGCCACGGGAAGACUCUCCCCCAAGAUCAAUGCACAUGUCUGCCAGGAAUCUAGGAAUCAAGAACAACAUGUAAGCUGCUCAUUAUAGUCGUUGUCGAUAUUAAGUCUUGUGCAUGUUUGCUAGGUUAUGCACCUUUUGCUGAUCUGCUCUUGUUUUUGCACUGAUCCAAGGACACGGUGCCAUGACUGCUGAUUCUUUAGUGAUAAAGUGUGUCUUCUAUUUAUGCACUCUUUCUAUCAAUCAUCAAUUUGCUCCCAGUUAUCCAUGUUUAUGUACGUGCCUUCUGUCUCUAAUCUGUUGGUCUUUAUGCUGGUUUCUCUCCCAGUUGAUUGUUCGACCUCUAUAGAGUUGUCAAUGAAAAGGCUCCAAGCAGUGUCACGGUCAGGAAUCUCUUUUCCAGGCAGCCGAAGAUGGUCAGGUAAUCAACCAUAUCACGGACCGCAAAGUUGUACGUGUGUUUUGGCGGCUGUUUGGAUCAGGGCCCAAAACCUGGCUUGCCCCGCUUGCCUAGAGCCCCUGCAUGUUACGCACGGGUGAAUCGAGGGCGCGGAUGAACUUUAUUAUAAAGGUUGCACAGUGCAUUGGUGAGAAAACUAUUGUUCUCUCAAACUGGUAAUAUUGAUUUGUUCUCUUGAAUGAUGUAAAGUUAACGGAUUGCCAUGCCAGCAUCGGUUUGAUUUAUAAUAGGUUCAUAUGCAUGUAUAUAUUUAUGUAUUACAUAACUGAAUAUUACCUUCUGAUUUGAUUUAUUCAGGGUGGACAGGCUCAAUGCUUCGUCUGCAGGCUACCCUGACAAUGAUUGUUUCGCUGUCGACCGUGUGUGGUUUCAGCAUCGUUUCUUACUACUACGGGAUCAGAGUCAUUGUAGACUGGGAGGUAAGCGUUGGCAGGAAUGCGUUUCAUUGUUAGAAAUUUAGUCUUCUAAAAUGAUAUGCAUCAUUGUUUGAUAUCAAUAUUAGUCAAUCCGAAAAGAAACUUGAUGGCGACAUGCCUCCUAGGAACAAUAGAAACUAUCUUUAUAUAGAGGGGAAGCAAACAAACAUAAUUAUUUCUUCUGGUUUACUAUUACUUACGUAGCUCAUAGUAAUAAUCACAUAUUUUUAACUAUUCUAAGUUUUGCUUACCUAACAAGACCGUAGGAGAAUUUCACUGUUGUUUAGAUUGGGUUGCCGCUCUAUUAGAGAUGUUUAGAUUCCUGAUAUUUUAAGCAUCAAAAAAAUAGCACAUAUGCCAGCUAUUUGUAUUCCUCUGAACUGAUCCAUUUUUCUCGAAAUUGUUGUUUCUA